rnacentral:rRNA from 1 species
UGAAGAGCCGCGGUAAUUUGACCGUGCAAAGGUAGCAUAAUAAUUAGUUUAUUAAUUGUAAACUUGUAUGAAUGGUUUGACGAGGUUAAUGCUGUCUCUAUUUUAUUUAUAUAAUUUAACUUUUUAGUUAAAAGGCUAAGAUUUUAUUUUGGGACGAUAAGACCCUUUAGAGCUUUAUUUUUAUUUCUUUAUAUAUUUUUGGAAAUUUUUUAUUUAUUGUUUAAUAAAAUUUUGUUGGGGUGAUGUGAAUAAUUAAUAAACUUUUCAUUUAUUUUUCAUUGAUUUAUGUAUUUUUUGAUCCAUUAUUAUUGAUUUUAAGAUUAAGUUACCUUAGGGAUAACAGCGUAAUUAUUUUUGAGAGUUCAUAUUGACAAAAUAGAUUGCAACCUCCAUGUUGGAUUAAUAUUAAUUUUUCGGUGUAACUGCUGAUUAGUAUUUGGUCUGUUCGACCAUUAAAUUCUU